UAAAACUCUGUUGCCAGGGAAGAACGGCCAGGAGAGUAACUGCUCUUAGCUUGACGGUACCUGAGAAGAAAGCCCCGGCUAACUACGUGCCAGCAGCCGCGGUAAUACGUAGGGGGCAAGCGUUGUCCGGAAUUAUUGGGCGUAAAGCGCGCGCAGGCGGUCUUUUAAGUCUGGUGUAUAAACCCACGGGCUCAACCUUGGGUCGCAUUGGAAACUGGUGGACUUGAGUGCAGGAGAGGAAAGUGGAAUUCCACGUGUAGCGGUGAAAUGCGUAGAGAUGUGGAGGAACACCAGUGGCGAAGGCGACUUUCUGGCCUGUAACUGACGCUGAGGCGCGAAAGCGUGGGGAGCAAACCGGAUUAGAUACCCUGGUAGUCCACGCCGUAAACGAUGAAUGCUUUGUGUUA
rnacentral:rRNA from 1 species